rnacentral:miRNA from 1 species
UCAGUGGGUUAUCUGAGUUGG